CGGCAGCAGCAGCAGCAGCAGCAGAAACUGGAUUUGCUUUUUCACCAGAGGAUCCAGAUUUCCCUGUGGCCUCGCAAACAAAAAAGAAGGAAGACGGAGCAGCACAGUCAUCCCUUUGUGAAAAAGGCAUUCAGGCCUUGCUCCUCCCUGCUGAUGAACGGCCACUCUGCUCCUAGAGGCACACCUGUCCCGAAGACACCCGGUUCUCAUGCUCUUCUCUGCAGCACCUGAAUUGGGCAUUCCUGGAGACGGGGUUUCACCGUGUUAGCCAGGAUGGUCUCGAUCUGCUGACCUCGCGAUCCGCCCGCCUCGACCUCCCAAAGUGCUGGGAUUACAGGCGUGAGCCACCGCGCCCGGCCUCAGCUGGUUUUUCAAAAGUCAUGGCGUGUAAUUGUCAGAACAGUGAACUUCGGAGAUUCACCGGAGGGGCGAGGCCACAGCUCGACCGCGAGCACCUGAGCAU
rnacentral:sRNA from 1 species